UGAGGAAUAUUGGUCAAUGGGCGAGAGUCUGAACCAGCCAAGUAGCGUGCAGGAUGACGGCCCUAUGGGUUGUAAACUGCUUUUAUACGGGAAUAAAGUUAGCCACGUGUGGUUAUUUGCAUGUACCCUAUGAAUAAGGACCGGCUAAUUCCGUG
rnacentral:rRNA from 1 species